rnacentral:misc_RNA from 1 species
GAUGAAGAACGCAGCGAAAUGCGAUACGUAAUGUGAAUUGCAGAAUUCAGUGAAUCAUCGAAUCUUUGAACGCAUAUUGCGCUCUUUGGUAUUCCGAAGAGCAUGCUUGUUUGAGUAUCAGUAAACACCUCAAAGUCUUUUUUUUUUCUUGAAGAAAAAGACCUUGGACUUGAGCAAUCCCAACUCUUCUUUCAGAAGAGGCGGGUUGCUUGAAAUGCAGGUGCAGCUGGACAUUCUCCAGAGCUAAAAGCAUAUUCAUUUAGUCCCGUCAAACGGAUUAUUACUUUUGCUGCAGCUAACAUAAAGGGAGUUUGACCAUUUUGGCUGACUGAUGCAGGAAUUUCACAAGAGUCUUCAAAACGCUCUUGUUAAACUCGAUCUCAAAUCAAGUAAGACUACCCGCUGAACUUAAGCAUAUCAAUAAGCGGAGGA